CAAUAGCGUAUAUUAAAGUUGUUGCAGUUAAAAAGCUCGUAGUUGAAUUUUUGCUUGCCGCCGAUGUCGGAACUUCCGUACGUUCGGCGGCGUGCAUCCUUGGGUGGAACCUGUGUGGCAUUAGGUUGUCGUGCAGGGGAUGCUCAUCGUUUACUGUGAAAAAAUUAGAGUGUUCAAAGCAGGCUUACGCCGUUGAAUAUAUUAGCAUGGAAUAAUAAGAUAGGACCUUGGUACUAUUUUGUUGGUUUGCGCACCGAGGUAAUGAUUAACAGGGACAGCUGGGGGUAUUCGUAUUCCAUUGUCAGAGGUGAAAUUCUUGGAUUUCUGGAAGACGAACUACUGCGAAAGCAUUUACCAAGGAUGUUUUCAUUAA
rnacentral:rRNA from 1 species